UACGGAGGGUGCAAGCGUUAAUCGGAAUUACUGGGCGUAAAGCGCGCGUAGGCGGUUUUUUAAGUCGGAUGUGAAAGCCCCGGGCUCAACCUGGGAACUGCAUCCGAUACUGGAAGACUAGAAUGCGGGAGAGGGAGGUAGAAUUCCAUGUGUAGCAGUGAAAUGCGUAGAUAUAUGGAGGAAUACCAGUGGCGAGGGCGGCCUCCUGGCUCGACAUUGACGCUGAGGUGCGAAAGCGUGGGGAGCAAACGGG
rnacentral:rRNA from 1 species